CCUACGGGAGGCAGCAGUGGGGAAUAUUGGACAAUGGGCGCAAGCCUGAUCCAGCCAUGCCGCGUGUGUGAAGAAGGCCUUCGGGUUGUAAAGCACUUUUGUACGGGAAGAAAAGCACCUGGUUAAUACCCGGGUGUCAUGACGGUACCGUAAGAACCAGCCCCUCUACUUCGUGCCAGCAGCCGCGGUA
rnacentral:rRNA from 1 species